rnacentral:lncRNA from 1 species
CUUUCCUCCAUCCUCUUGAUCCAUCCCAUCAGGAAAGCCUCCUGGUCUGAGUGGCUUCUGUUCUGAGCCCACGCUCUCCCUCCCCUACCUAAGAUCAUGUUCCUCUUCGUAAUUUACAAACAGCUGGAGAAAGCUCUGUGACUCAGCACAGCUGCUGUGCGUCAGAGUCAUGGCUGCACGCGUCCAACCGCAUCUGAACUGAGAGAGCAGCCCUCUGUCAGCCUCAGAGGGGGCAACUGUGAUGCCUGUAUUUAUCCACCUCUUCAAGGGGAGGGACUGAAGGAGUGGAGUUCUGCUUUGUUUGGGGGAAGAGGACACAG